CUAAAUGCUCACAGAACACUCUUACACUGACCCUGAAGCCUUUAAAGACCAUUGUUCGACUUUGUGUACCUGUGACCUUGGAUUCUCCAGGCCUCACCUGUCUUUCAUGCCCUCAGUUAUCUGCUGGAUCCUGGAAUCAGAAGAAUGGCCAUAUCCAGGGCAUAAAAUCCCACUUUCUCAGUAGCUGCCCAAGGACUCAGGUGGCCCAGCCCAGAGGUUCAGGGGAGCUGACAUCCUGCAAGACAAACUGUGACUCAUGGGGCCCAAGAGCCUGGGGAGAGCCAGGAAGCACACCUUUCUCUAUUCUUCCUGUUGAAUGCCUCCCAGGUGUGGUGUUACUGUACCUUUUACCCAGAGAUGUCCCAUGGGAUGCCCAGAACCAUGGUGAGUCUCUGGGAAGCAGUGGUCAGCUGGGUAAUGCCCACUUUGUAUUUGCCCUUCUUCUCUUGUCAAUGCCCUGUUCCUUCAUCCUGGCUUCUCUGGGAUUGAAAUAAUAUGCAAACAUUGCCUCAGACUCUAUUUUCUAGAGUCUAGCCUAAGCCAGGCCCUACUCCCUUUUGUAUCUCUGGUUCCUAGAACAACACUUUACGGAGAGUUAGUGCUCAGUGCCUGUUUAUUGACUUGAAGAAUAAAAGAAUAACUGAUCAUCUGAAUGCCAAAAUGAAUUAAUGAAUGAGUCUUGUGUUCACGCCAGUAUUUCCACUGGACAAAAUUCUGAAUUUCUGAAGAGCCUCAGUCUCUCUGAUUGUAACACACUAAAGGAAAGCAACACAGGGAAAGAAGAGAGGAAGAGAAAAGGUGGCAGGAAGAGAAAGAAUCCAAAAGAAAAACUGCCUCGCAAUCCCAAUCUGUUCCAAUUGCCUUAUUUGCCGAGUUUUCACUUUGGGCCAAAACAGUACUAGUUUAGCAAAAGGGAGACCAAGGCUGGAAUCACUUUUGAGAACUGAGGGCACAUGGAAGAUCUCUGAUACAAUGAAUGGUGGAUUAUUUUUAAUCUGGAAAAAUGUCAAAAGCAUGAGCAGCUCAAUGCCAACCAUCCAACUUCAUGCAAACCUUUAAUUAGUUAUAAUACUUGGAAGCCUUUCCUGGGAUGCUGUUUCAUUGCCAGUGAACUCACCAUGCUCAGUGCCUGGCAACCAUCUGGUGCUGAAGUCACUGGGUUGGGAGCUGUAAGCCAGGCCUAGAGUCCCUGCCUUGCCUCCCAUUCCUUGUGUGACCCUGGUGUGUCUCUUCCCUUCAAGACCUCUGCUGCCCAUUGUGCAAAGUGAGGACAAGAAGUUCUAACCUUCCCUCAGUCUAUGGCUGACAGUGAAGCAUCUAAAUCACCCACAUGUUGGUCUGUAG
rnacentral:lncRNA from 10 species